AUGGCGGAUAGACUUGCCCGUAGGGGCUGGCCCAACUGCGGUCUUUGUCAGCUUUGUAAAAGGGAACCAGAAUAUGUCGCGCACCUCAUGUCCAAAUGUGGCUACUCGAUCAGGAUUUGGAAUUUGAUCCAUGAUUGGCUGGGGAUACAGUCGCAGGCGCCUGCUUGGGCUGAUCUUCCAUCCAUUGAAAGGUGGUGGGAUGCUAACAGACUUCUCAAUGGCACAAGUAGGAAGGCUCUCAACUCUCUGAAGAUGCUAAUUUGUUGGAUUUGGAACGAGAGGAAUGCAAGGAUCUUUCAAAACAAGGCCUCCUUACCCACUCACGUAUUUUCAUCCAUCCAGGCGGAGGCGUAG
rnacentral:rRNA from 1 species